AUAAAGUUAAUAUAUCAAGUGAUUUUCUUUGUCUUUGCGCUGUUUUUUCCGUACAAGGCAGAUAGUGACGCAAUCAAACAGCACCCGUGUUGUUUGUAUUGUUAGCCAGCGGUAACUGUCACUUCGUUAGCGAUGUAGCCUCUUUUCCAAAUAUUUAAAAAAAAAAAUAAGGUAGACCAGUUGUUGUAGCAAUUCUGCUCUUAUUCAGGUACGAUAAGUGUAUGUGUAGUGUAAGUUUGGACGCGUUGCUAACACAGACAGGAAGAAGUUAGUUGUUUAGCCUACAAGCUAACAUGAGUUACUUUGUUGCCAGUAGUAGCGACACACUGUGUGUCUAACAGGUGACUUUGUUCAGUUAACUGUCCGUUAUGGAGGAUAACUCGUCUUAUUCUUCGGUGGCGACUGGUCUGUGUCAAGCGUCUUUCCUCCAGAAGACACUGGAGCGGUUAUCCUCUACACAGUGCCUGAAGCUGAGAGAUGAGGAAGGGGCUCCCGUCGCUGUCAUUGCACUUCAGAGGUACUUAUCUGAGCAGACCGAGGGGCAGCAGCAGCAGCAGCAGCAGCAGCAGCUCGACAGCUACACCUACGAUGUGACGGUCACCGAUGGAGUCUGGCGAGCCAAGUGCUUUCUUCACCCCGAUUUAAAUCACCAGGUGCACACAAACACCCUAAAGACUGGAGCUGAUAUCCACAUCACGCAGUGUUCUUAUGUUUACAACGAGAGGAGACUGGGACACGGUUACAUUUGCAUUGAAAAGCUCAGAUGUGGUGCUGAGAGGUCUGUCCUCCUGCCCCGUGUAAACGAUGUCAGCUCUCUGCCUAUGCUGGUCAAGCAUGGCAUGGAGAGAAGUGUAGUGCUGCAGAGCGAUGUUCCCCUUCAGGUGAGCCGCAAACACUACCUGUCUCUGUGGAACAACGACGAUCCAGAGGGAGACAUCUGGACAUCAGGCUCUCCCUCAGCUGAAACUGUGCUGGACGUAUCCAAGAUCACUCUUCUUAGUAGUCUGGAGUCAUCCUUUAGAGGCGCGUGGAAACCGCUCCCUCUCCUUGUGAAGAUAAUACACAAAUCCAGAUUAAGAUAUUAUGGGAAGUUUGGGCUCAAGAUCGAUUACCCCUACCAGUAUGCUAUAUUUCAGGCAUACUUUGAAGUCGCUGAUCAGAGUGGCACAAUGUCCCUUGUGCUUUGGAACGAACUUUGUCCAGAGUUUUACCAGAGACUGAACGUGGGCACAGUGUUGUACCUCCAAAAUUACACCCUGAAGCAGAGUUAUGCAAACCGGUCACGGCCGCAAAUGGACCAUCACAGACUGAAGACCUUUAACUCUGUAGAAAUCUGCCUGAACCCUCGCAACCCAGCUUCAGUCAUCACUGUAGUAUCACCAAAGAGUGUGCUGCCUCAGUGGGGAUUGCCUGAGGUUUCCUAUCAGUUCACCACCAGGUCCGAGUUGGAAAAAUUAGCCAACAAUUCUGCGUGUGAUGUCAUUGGUUUGGUAACAUUUGUUGGUCGUGUUGAGAGGGUGAAGAGCAAAGGGAACAAGGGUCCAGAAAAAUACUGGACGUAUCGCUGGGUACACGCAGUUGAUGGGACAUCUAAGCAUCCGUUUAUCCUGGAGAUAUUUUCCUCUUCUCAACCAGAAAUCUUCAGCUGUAUAUGCCCAAUGACCUACCUGGUUUGCACUCAGAUGAGGGUUUGUCAAGUGGAAGGCUCAUUGCCCUACCUCACAAGCAGCUGUGAGACAGAGACGUUCAUCACGGGCUAUCACAAAGGUCAGCCAUAUGUGAGUGACCCCAGAGUAAAGAGCUUCAUCCAGUGGACCAAAACUCUCAAGGACAACAUCAUCCUCCAGAGGACUGCUGUUGGCGGCCAUUAUUGCUACCCUCGUCCCCCAAAGACAUUUACACAGUCAAUGGCAGAUGCCUCAGCUCAAGUUCCUCUGGUUGCUGCUGCUGACCUGAAGAGGGAGUUAGAGACCCUGCAAUACAGGGAACAUAAAAAACUGGCAAUUCAGGGACAGAUCACAGCUGUGCAGUACCUGAAAAACCCAAAGACCACAGGGUCACAAGGAGCAGAAGAGAAAGAGGUGCCAGAUGUUUCUACUGAUGUGCGUAUACCAGACACACACAAUCAUCCCACAGCUGCUGAGCAGACUUCGGUUGACAGUUUAACGUCUCCCUCUGCUGAGAAAAUCUCAGCAAGCAGAAGAAAAAGACAAAUUCAAACAAGAAACACCACACAGUCCUCCUUGAAUCAUGGUGGCGUGCCGUCAAAAAGAAGGGCUGGACACAAACAUGCAGCGGAAGGACGAGAGCAGGAGGAAAAUGACAGCAACUCUGAAUCAGAGCAGGCUCAGGAUGUGGAACAGAGUCUACAACCACAAAAUCCAAAUCGAGACUCUGAUGCUUUAUCUUGGGAAAGCAGCAGUUGGCUGAAACAGAGGCAGGAAGUGUCUGAGCAUUUGUGUCAAGGUGGUCUGUACCAGGACAGCGUCUCUCAGAGGUUCACGUCCGACACAAAGAACGUCCUCCUGCAGUGGAGUAACCUCCAGCCAAUGCGGUGGAUGCCAGAGCAACCUGCUGACACCCUCCCACCUGUGGUUUGUCCAGGUUACUACCAACUAACAAUAUUAGGCAUAAACAAGCAGAUAGCUGUUGACGCCGCAUAUUCUCCCAUCGUGAGUGCUGAUGAGCCCAGGGCUGUAGGUCUUCCUCAGGAUCCCCAUGGCAACACGAUGAUGUCCUGCCUUUCUUCAGGCUUCCUCUGCCCCCUGAGUGUCACAGCUACUCACAGCGAUACAGCUCUUCCCGAGCCAGAGGAGAUCUUAGCGAGUGCUGGUGAGCUGGAGGACACACAUGUCGUGUGCAUCCUGGACCUUUGUCACCUGGGUGGAGAUAAGGUGGAAGUUCUGAUCAACAAGAUGUACAGAGUGACUGAGGUUUCUCUCGACUAGGAGAGCUGAAGAGGAGAGCAACUACAGUAACUAGGAGUGUGGAGAAGUCCCCAUCUAAGAAGUCACCUGGUCGCACCUGAGGCAAGGAGGAUAACUGUCUGGAAGGAAACCACCCUCCUCAGGUGCAGCCAGUUCAUCAGGAUGACAGGUUAUAUAUACCGCCCUCCUCCCUUUGUUCUUUCUUUUCAACCUUGACCAUGUUGUGUGUGUCCUGUAAGUUCCCUUACCUAUUUGAUUUAACUUUAUAGUGCAUCAUUUCUGUUGAUUUGAUGAUAGUAACUUUGUUCUCUUUUUCACAGAGCAUAAAACACCAAGAGUAUAGCAGAACCUAUGGCUGAAAAAAGUAGGAAGCGUCCAAUAAAAGUUCCUGAUGCUGCAGAUGAAGGACUACAGUCUAAAAAAAAAAGUGAUCAACAAGGCCUCGUGUUGGUCUGAGAGAACAUCAUGGGGUUGCUGUAGAAGGGCAUCGUCAGACUCGUGUUCGUCUGCACGGGCAAACUCACCAACUGUGCCUGCCCGCUCCGUGCAAUCCUCUGCUGAACC